rnacentral:rRNA from 1 species
UACGGAGGGGGCUAGCGUUGUUCGGAAUUACUGGGCGUAAAGCGCGCGUAGGCGGACCUGCAAGUCGGGGGUGAAAGCCCGAGGCUCAACCUCGGAACUGCCUUCGAUACUGCGGGUCUCGAGUCCGGGAGAGGUGAGUGGAAUUCCUAGUGUAGAGGUGAAAUGCGCAGAUAUCGGGAAGAACACCCGUGGCGAAGGCGGUUCUCUGGGACGGUACUGACGCUGAGACGCGAAAGCGUGGGGAGCGAACAGG